rnacentral:tmRNA from 3 species
GGGGGCGACAGGCUUCGACGGGAUGUCCUGAAGCCAAGGGAAGCAUACCGAGGUCUGGGGCUCGUUAAAACACCAGAAAAAAAUAGUCGCAAACGACUAUAACUACGCUCUGGCUGCUUAAGUCAGCCGGCGUCUUUUAGGCCUGCUCCUGCGGGGCUUAAGAGACGACAUUUAGCAGGAUGGCCUUUCACGCCUUGCCCAAGCUACUGAAAGGCGAGACUUAAAUGGGCUGGUUUCUUAAUACCCUGCCUGUCGGGGAUUGAGGGAUGAGAUUUAAAUGAUAGGCUAAGUAUGUAGAUGCCCUGGAUAAGCAUUCUCGGACGUGGGUUCAAUUCCCACCGCCUCCACCA